UUGUAUGACUCUCGGCAAGGGAUAUCUGGGCUUUGGAAUCAAUAAAAAGCGCACCGAAAUGCAAUACUGGGGGUGAAUUGCAAAAUCCCGGGAACCAUCGAGUUUUUGAACGCAAGUUGCCCCCAAGGCCAAUUGGCUAAGGGCACGUCCCCCG
rnacentral:rRNA from 1 species